UACGGAGGGUGCGAGCGUUGUCCGGAAUCACUGGGCUUAAAGGGCGCGUAGGCGGGCGAGCAAGUCUAGGGUGAAAUCUUUCGGCUUAACCGGAAAAUAGCCUUGGAUACUGCUGGUCUCGAGGGAGGUAGGGGUCGUUGGAACUUCCGGUGGAGCGGUGAAAUGCGUUGAUAUCGGAAGGAACGCCGGUGGCGAAAGCGAACGACUGGACCUUUUCUGACGCUGAGGCGCGAAAGCCAGGGGAGCAAACGGG
rnacentral:rRNA from 1 species